ACCUUCCCUGGUCUUGCCAUCUGCUAAAAAACCAAACGAUAGGGCUUCUCCUGCGGGAACAGGGGGAAAGAGGGCGCAUGGUUGUCAUCCGCUCGGGUCGUGAGAUGUAGGGUUAAGACCCGCAACGAGCGCAGCCCUUGAUCUUAGUUGCCAUCAUUAAGUUGGGCACGCUACGGUGACUGCCGGUGACAAACCGGAGGAAGGUGGCGAUGACGUCAAAUCAUCAUGCCCCUUAUGACCUGGGCUACACACGUGCUACAUUGGACGGUACAAAGAGCUCCAAGACUGCGAGGUGGAGCUACUAUCAUAAAACCGUUCUCAGUUCAGAUUGUAGGCUGCAACUCGCCUACACGAAGCUGGAACCGCUAGUAAUCACGCAUCAGCCUCCCCCGCGCAAUACGUUCCCGAGUCUUCUACA
rnacentral:rRNA from 1 species